CACCCAGCGCGAACUGUAUUCGACAAAUGUGCGCGACGUAACGUACCUGAGAGUCCACUAACUUGAGCCUGCUGCAAAUUAUGCUCCUUGAAUAGAUUCAGGAUUGUUGCGUAGCAUCACCCUGAGGAGGAGAGGCGGAGGAGGAGGAGAAGAGGAAAUCCUUUGGGUAUCGAAUCCUUUUUUCCUGAUCACCCGCCCGCCGAACAGUCUGCCAGCAGGCCAAAAAACAUCUGCGAAUGAAUCAAUCCCUUGUCUUCAUUUGGGCUCUCUUCCCCGCAAUAGUUAGUUACAUCGGAGAUGAAUUCUGUCCUGCACACACAUUGCAUUCCAUUGCUGAAAAAAGUCAAUCUACGUUCAUUCUAAUUGUUAUCGUG
rnacentral:sRNA from 2 species